rnacentral:rRNA from 1 species
AUUGAACGCUGGCGGCAGGCCUAACACAUGCAAGUCGAGCGGAAACGAGUUAUCUGAACCUUCGGGGAACGAUAACGGCGUCGAGCGGCGGACGGGUGAGUAAUGCCUAGGAAAUUGCCCUGAUGUGGGGGAUAACCAUUGGAAACGAUGGCUAAUACCGCAUGAUGCCUACGGGCCAAAGAGGGGGACCUUCGGGCCUCUCGCGUCAGGAUAUGCCUAGGUGGGAUUAGCUAGUUGGUGAGGUAAGGGCUCACCAAGGCGACGAUCCCUAGCUGGUCUGAGAGGAUGAUCAGCCACACUGGAACUGAGACACGGUCCAGACUCCUACGGGAGGCAGCAGUGGGGAAUAUUGCACAAUGGGCGCAAGCCUGAUGCAGCCAUGCCGCGUGUAUGAAGAAGGCCUUCGGGUUGUAAAGUACUUUCAGUCGUGAGGAAGGCGGCGUCGUUAAUAGCGGCGUUGUUUGACGUUAGCGACAGAAGAAGCACCGGCUAACUCCGUGCCAGCAGCCGCGGUAAUACGGAGGGUGCGAGCGUUAAUCGGAAUUACUGGGCGUAAAGCGCAUGCAGGUGGUUUGUUAAGUCAGAUGUGAAAGCCCGGGGCUCAACCUCGGAAUAGCAUUUGAAACUGGCAGACUAGAGUACUGUAGAGGGGGGUAGAAUUUCAGGUGUAGCGGUGAAAUGCGUAGAGAUCUGAGGGAAUACCGGUGGCGAAGGCGGCCCCCUGGACAGAUACUGACACUCAGAUGCGAAAGCGUGGGGAGCAAACAGG